rnacentral:tRNA from 2 species
AAAAUUUUAGUUUAAAGUAAAAUAUUUCUUUUACAGUGAAAAGAUUAAAAAAUUGUUUUUAAAAUUUUA